UACGUAGGGGGCAAGCGUUGUCCGGAAUUAUUGGGCGUAAAGAGCGCGUAGGCGGUCCGAUAAGUCGGCUGUGAAAGUCAAGGGCUCAACCCUCGGAAGCCGGCCGAUACUGUCGGACUAGAGUCCGGAAGAGGCGAGUGGAAUUCCCGGUGUAGCGGUGAAAUGCGCAGAUAUCGGGAGGAACACCAAUUGCGAAGGCAGCUCGCUGGGACGGUACUGACGCUGAGGUGCGAAAGCGUGGGGAGCAAACAGG
rnacentral:rRNA from 1 species